rnacentral:rRNA from 1 species
ACGCUAGCGGCAGGCCUAACACAUGCAAGUCGAGGGAGGAGCCUUCGGGCUUCGACCGGCGUACGGGUGCGUAACGCGUAUACAAUCUGCCUUUCACAUAGGGAUAGCCCGAAGAAAUUUGGAUUAAUACCUAAUGGUAUACAGAUGUGGCAUCACAUUUAUAUUAAAGCUGAGGCGGUGAAAGAUGAGUAUGCGUUCUAUUAGCUAGUUGGAGAGGUAACGGCUCCCCAAGGCUACGAUAGAUAGGGGUUCUGAGAGGGAUAUCCCCCACACUGGUACUGAGAUACGGACCAGACUCCUACGGGAGGCAGCAGUGAGGAAUAUUGGACAAUGGUCGGAAGACUGAUCCAGCCAUGCCGCGUGCAGGAAGACGGCCUUAUGGGUUGUAAACUGCUUUUGCAGGGGAAGAAUAAGGAGUACGUGUACUUUGAUGACGGUACUCUGCGAAUAAGCAUCGGCUAACUCCGUGCCAGCAGCCGCGGUAAUACGGAGGAUGCGAGCGUUAUCCGGAAUCAUUGGGUUUAAAGGGUCCGUAGGCGGGCUAAUAAGUCAGAGGUGAAAGCGCUCAGCUCAACUGAGCAACUGCCUUUGAAACUGUUAGUCUUGAAUGGUUGUGAAGUAGUUGGAAUGUGUAGUGUAGCGGUGAAAUGCUUAGAUAUUACACAGAACACCGAUAGCGAAGGCAUAUUACUAACAAUUAAUUGACGCUGAUGGACGAAAGCGUGGGGAGCGAACAGGAUCAGAUACCCUGGUAGUCCACGCUGUAAACGAUGGAUACUAGCUGUUUGGUUGUAAGACUGAGUGGCUAAGCGAAAGUGAUAAGUAUCCCACCUGGGGAGUACGCACGCAAGUGUGAAACUCAAAGGAAUUGACGGGGGCCCGCACAAGCGGUGGAGCAUGUGGUUUAAUUCGAUGAUACGCGAGGAACCUUACC